UCUGUUCCGGCCCUCGGUCCGAUGCUGAUCGUGCAGCGCAUGGUGAUUACGCGAUCGUGUUGCUUGCGAUUUGUUUCUGGCUGCUUUCUGGAAGUCCGAACUUGACGUAGCUGGUCAAAAGAAGUCGUGGCUCCUCAUUCUUGAGUACGAAUAGUACCUCUUGUUCUUCAAGACAAGGAGGCUAUUCUAGGUAUUGAUUCUUGGAAAAAAUAAAUCAACAUCGUAAUGGAUUCGUCUGCUAAACGUCAGAGCUGGUUUGGCCACUUCUAUCAAACCCUAUGCCAGGACGGGGAUGGGACUAUGAAGCAGGAUUUUGAUCAUAUUGAAAA